rnacentral:rRNA from 1 species
AGCGAACGCUGGCGGCAGGCCUAACACAUGCAAGUCGAACGAACUCUUCGGAGUUAGUGGCGGACGGGUGAGUAACACGUGGGAACGUGCCUUUUGGUUCGGAAUAACUCAGGGAAACUUGUGCUAAUACCGAAUGUGCCCUUUCGGGGGAAAGAUUUAUCGCCAUUAGAGCGGCCCGCGUCUGAUUAGCUAGUUGGUGAGGUAACGGCUCACCAAGGCGACGAUCAGUAGCUGGUCUGAGAGGAUGACCAGCCACACUGGGACUGAGACACGGCCCAGACUCCUACGGGAGGCAGCAGUGGGGAAUCUUGCGCAAUGGGCGAAAGCCUGACGCAGCCAUGCCGCGUGAAUGAUGAAGGUCUUAGGAUUGUAAAAUUCUUUCACCGGGGACGAUAAUGACGGUACCCGGAGAAGAAGCCCCGGCUAACUUCGUG